rnacentral:rRNA from 1 species
UACGGAGGGGGCGAGCGUUAUUCGGAAUUAUUAGGCGUAAAGGGCGCGUAGGCGGCCCGGUAAGUCAAAGGUGAAAUCCCUCGGCUCAACUGAGGAACUGCCUUUGAAACUGUCGGGCUUGAGGCCGGGAGGGGGUAGCGGAAUUCCCAGUGUAGCGGUGAAAUGCGUAGAUAUUGGGAGGAACACCGGUGGCGAAGGCGGCUACCUGGCCCGGUACUGACGCUGAGGUGCGAAAGCGUGGGGAGCAAACAGG